rnacentral:rRNA from 1 species
ACCGACCCUUCGGGAGCUUGCACAGGUGCUGCAUGGCUGUCGUCAGCUCGUGUCGUGAGAUGUUCGGUUAAGUCCGCUAACGAGCGCAACCCUCGCUGUGUGUUAUAUGUGUCACACGGGACUGCCGGUCUUAAGCCGGAGGAAGGUGGGGAUGAUGUCAAGUCAGCAUGGCCUUUAUAUCCUGGGCUACACACACGCUACAAUGGCCAACACAAUAGGUUGCUAAGCCGCGAGGUGGCGCCAAUCCAUAAAGUUGGUCUCAGUUCAGAUUGUAGGCUGCAACCCGCCUGCAUGAAGAUGGAGUUGCUAGUAACCGCAGGUCAGCUAUACUGCGGUGAAUACGUUCCCGGGGCUU